GCCAAACGCUCACUCAUUCGUUCCGCGGCCGCUUCUUCAGCACAGGCACGGCGAUCUGUCCCACGGCGGCGAUGGCGCUCUCCUCCUCCAGGCCACACCACCUCCUCCGCCGCUUCCACGCUUCCGCGCGGGCUCUGUCGCGGGUGGAACCGCACGAGUUCUCGCAGCCCAGCGACUACCUCGGGAGCUGGGCGGAGCGCGCCCCCGCCACGGUCGCCGCGGGCGGCGGCGACACACGGGAGGCUUGGGCACGGCUCGAGCGGCUGCGCAAGGGGUACGCGCGCGAGGUGGGGGAGCUGCGGCGUCAGUACGCCUACGAGGCGCAACUGCUGGAGGCCGAGCGGCAGCGCAAGGCGGAGGCACGUGCCGAGGCCGCCCGCGUCGCCAACGAGGAGCGCAAGGCCGCCAAGGCUGCCGCCGCGCAGACCAGGGCCGCCGAGCGCCGCGCCUUCGAGCUCGAUUUCCGCCAGGCCCUCAUGAAAGAAAGAGCUCAGAAGCUGGAGAGCUGGAGGAACAAGGAGAAGCUGAAAGCACAGAAGAAGGCGGAGCACAGGGAGCUCUUGCGCAGGCAGAGUUCUGUCUGGGUUGCUGAGGAUAAAAUGGAAAAGAAAAUUCUUGAGGCUAUCAUGCAUACCACCCCUCUCUGAGGUUCAUGCUGUGAGGGAAAGGCUGCGUACUAUAGACCCAAAGUGGUCGGACCCUUCCCUGGACCCUGCGCAAGCGGGAGCUACAUGCACCAGGUCUGCAGGAAACUAGAUGAUGUAUCCUGGACAGUAGAAAUGAAGCUUGUUUGCCAUUCCCUCUUACGAACUACUAUUUCACAGUUGUCUAAGGAAUAACGACAAUUCUGCUAGCCUUUUUUUUGUUUCUGAACCUGUGUUAUAAUGUUCAGUUGUUAGACUGGACGAACAUCGAGCUGGCAUUGUGUUUCGGAAUUUAAUUUUCUUCAUAGAAA